rfam:Oryza sativa (indica cultivar-group) chromosome 8, whole genome shotgun sequence.
UUUAACUACAACUAUAAGUUUCCGCGCCCAACUUUAAUCGUCUAUUUUAUUUAUUUAUUUUUAUAAUUAUGAGUUGAUAAAAUAUGAAUAAUACUUUAUACGUAACUUAUGUUUUUAAUCUCUUUUCAAAUAAGACAGGCAGUUAAAGUUGUGCACGGAAAAUUAUGGCUACACUUAAA